UCUUUCCUACAGUACACGUUACUUGGACGUUUUUAACCACUGUGAACACAGACUAAAAUGGAAAGUAAGCCGUCUUCCUUGUGCGCAGUCUGGAUAUCCUCCUCAUGAGAUGGAUUUUAAAUCUCUCCUCAUCUUGAAUCUCAGUGAGACGGUGUCUGGAUUCUCUGAAAAGCCUUAACCAUUCCAAAGGAAAUGCCUCCGAGAAGGAAACCUCUGUCAGUUGUAUCACUGAUGAUAUUUAUGCUGAAUGUCGUCACUGGAGAUGCUCUGACUUGUCAUGGCACCAAGUACAGAGUAGGACAGGAAUGCUGUCGUAUGUGUCCCCCUGGAAACAGAGUUAAUAAACCUUGCACAAAGUUCACAAGCACAUCUUGUGAGCCGUGCACUGAUGGAACCUUCCUGGAUCAGCUUAAUGGACAAACAGAGUGCUUUCCAUGUAAAAAGUGUGAUGCAGAUGCAGGUUUACAGGUGAAAAGGCCGUGCACAACAACAUCAGAUGCUGUUUGUGAACCACAAGAUGGAUUCUUCUGUGUUGAUCUUAGAGGGGACGGCUGUGUUGCAGCACAGAAACACCGCAGCUGUAAACCUGGUCAAUACAUGAGCCAAAGAGGAACAGCAACAACAGACACAGAGUGCAGCGACUGCACAGGGGAAACUUAUUCAAAUGGAACAUUUACAUCUUGCCAACCUCACACAAAAUGUGAAUCUGAGGGUCUUCAGCAGAUCAGACCAGGAAAUCAUUCAGCUGAUUCUGAAUGUGGACCAAAACAUGACAGUUCAAACAAGACAGCGAUCACUGUAUCACUGAUCUUGGUUGUUGUUAUAACAGUUGCAGUUUUAACAGCUGCAGUAAUUUGGCGAAGAAAGAAGAGACCAAAACAAAGUGCAGGAGGAGAAGAAACGUUUCCAGAACAGGAAACACUAAGAGGAGGGGGAUCCAUCAGAGGCCUGUGCUUUAGCAGUCAGUGUUUCUGGAGAAAAUGGAAACCAUCAGCCAUCAAGCAUCCAGCUGCUACCUCUGUCUGAAGGGCUGAACACGUGAGGAGGUCCAGAGACCCUGGUGGCCACACUUGGGGAGGAUGCCCUGUCAUACAUGAGACAUGAGCUACUGAGGUCAAAUAUGGCAGGGAGAGCCUGGAGCACCACCUCCAUCCAGGAAGGUGGAUUCCCAAGAGAUUCAGAGUGGACGGCUGAUAAGAAGUGUGCUCUUCCACCUGGACAAUCCUCCUGCCCACACCUCCACAGUGUCCAUGACCGCUGUACAGAAAUGUGGAUUUGAACCUGCUCCACAGCUGCUCUAUUGUCCUGAUUUGGCCCCUGCUGACUACUACUGCACCUCAUCCUAAAAAUGAAGACAGGAGCUCAGUGGUUGUUAUUUUGUCUCAGAUGACGACUGUCAGCUCAGAUGAGACUGGUUUCUACACCAAAGGGAUCAGUAUGCUCCAUGACCACGGGAUCAGGUGUGUUCAUGUAGGAGGGGACGAUGCAGAAAGACAAAUGUUUGACUUUCAAGAGCUUACUCCUUCUAAUUUCGGUCCAAAUUUAAAAAAAAUAAAUAAAUAAAAAAUCACCUCAUACGGACCAUUGUGUUUUACCCAUUGGGAACCAAAGCUCAAGAGGAACUGUGAUGUCACCCAGAGAAGGUGUUGAGUAGGUGAUGCAUCUCCUGCUUCCAUUCUGAGGUUGAGGUUGAGUUUGUUCUGAACUGUGGUGUUUCAGCCUGGUUUGUCUCCAGCUGAGGAAUCAAGACAGUCCAUCUUACCCAAGAAAUCAAGUGGAUGCAGCUCAUGGAUGCAGCAUAUAUUUUGCUGCCUUCAUAAUGCAUCAUAUGUUGGAUAAUGAAAUCCAAAAUGCCUCAUUAGAGUACAAAAGCAUGUGCAGUACAUGACAUUUAUCUCAUCACUUUGACACUAUUCUUGACUUUUAUUGCCAAUUUUAUUGACUAUUGACAAUUUUAAUUUCCCAGUCUGCAUCAUCAUUUGAGUGAAGAAGAAUCAUAAUCACCAUCAUAGUCAUACAGAGGCAAAUACAAUUCCAUCUCCACUGUGCAGUAUGAGGGUACACUGGGUAAAUCAUUUUACAGAAAUAUGUUUUGUUUUUGUAUCUUUUGUAAACCCAUAUGUAUUUUAUUCAGCUGUGGAUUUUGUAUGUUUUUUAAAAAGGACUGACAAAAACAGUAUUUUUUCAGAUUCAUCCUCGUAUAUACUGUAUAUUUUUCUAGCUGAUGUGUAUGACAGACAGCUGCUCAGGGUGUUUUUAUUAAAAUGAUGUUUUUGUCUUUCAUCAUCAGUCUGUCUUGGUGCAAUUAACACUGCACACCUACACACACAAACACAUUAUUGUCCACACACACAUUAUUUUUAUACACUGUGUUAAAUUAUGCUAUUCUGUAUGUUGUCAAAGGGCAUAAAUCAAUGUCAGUGAUUCAGUUUGUAGUUAAAAAAAAAAAUUCAUUCCAUAUUUGCUGAGGAGCUCCCCGGCAGCGGUCAACACUGCAACAUCUCCACCCGCGAUUUGUUCUGUUCCUUUCAUGUUGAGCAUGCUCGCUGGGAUAUUAUUUUUUUCUUGAAAGAUGGAUGUAAUUGGACCCAAAGUUAUCAUCGUUUUACAUUUUUCA